CGACUUGCCCCUGACCCCCGCGUGCCCUGGAGCGCUGCCCGGCGCCCUCGCGAGUCAGCGGAGGCCACGGAAGCCACCGGACGCUCCGGCCCCCAGGGUGUCAACCGCGUUGCGUAACCCGGCGGGCGAAAGCCGAGGCUGUGCGCUGCCGAUAAAAGCUCCGGCAGUUCGCUUUGGGUCCUCCAGCGCUCCCCGUGCUUCCCACCUGGUUCCCACGAGUAUCCCGAGAGUCACCAAUUCCCCCGCUCAUUUCACAGAUAAGCUCAAGCACCGUUUUUUAUCUUCACUCGGAGGCACUGGUUGCCUCUACAAUAAAACCAUGACGGCUCCACAGCUACAAUUGCGAACUGUAGGCCUCUAUCGGCAAACUCAGCGCUACCAGCAGCCCUGCUUCUGGGACGCGAUUCUCUGAUACGGGGAACAACUCUGGCAAAGCAGCUCUGAACAAAGGAAGCCCAGUCUUAGUUCUUCCAAAAGAUCCAUUCCUGGAAAGUUCAGUAUAUUAAAACCAUGCAAAAUGCUUAGUGUUUAUAAUUAUCUGAGCCUAGAAUCUAAUUUUUUUUAACUCCCCCCAAAGUUGAUUUUCAUAUGCUUGAGUGCUGGGACAGAGUAGGGGACCCCAGAAAGCAUGCAGGACUUAAAAAAAAAAAAAAAAAAAAACCCUUGCCAUCGAGUCAUAUUCCAACUCGGUGAAUAGUUGUAUGGGACCGUCCACACAGCACAGGAUGUCAGCAACCCUGGUUUCCACCAUCUAAAUGCCAACAGACUGUGUUCUAAUCGUCUGACAAAUAAAAACUCCCCCAUGUUUCUAAAAUGUCCUGCCCCACCUUCCAGUCCCACCACCUCCCCAGCCCAGCUAAGAGACCCUGGUUUAGAUGAGAAGGAUACAAGCAGGGUGGUUUGAGAUUGGUGGCUGGGGAAUCAGACUCAGAGUGAAGGAACAUGUCCUGAGAAGAUCCCAUAUGCUGAGGGCUUCUACCUGUCCUCAUUCCAUUAUCUCACCUAAGACCCCUCCUUCCACUGCAACAAAGAACACUUGAGAGUAGCUAAAGGCAUAAAAGGUAGAACAGGGUAGUCACUUGCCCACCAGACAGUGAGAAAGGGGACUGGAAUUUUACUCACUCAUUCAAGCUUUCACUCUUCUGGCUAAUGAAUAUUCCGAGUCCCUAAGCAAGAUGGUACAGUAGUGAAAAUACUCCACCCUAGAGCAACAAAGUGUUCUCCUAUUUCGACUCAUGGCAAUCCGCUGUUUUACAGAAUAGAACUGUUCCACAGUUUUCUUGGUUUAAUCUUUAGGGAAGCAGAUCGCCAGGCUUUUCUUCUGUGGCAUCAUUGGGUGGGUGUGAGCCACCAACCUUUAGGUUAGUAGUCAAGUACAAACCACUUGCACCAACCAGAGACAACAGAUAGACAGUAGAAUGCUAUAGAGCGCAGGUGUGGCUCUGGCCAACUUACUCUCUCCAGUGGGAUCUUCUAGGACAUAAGAAAAAUGCUAGUUCUGAAAUCAAGUCUUUCUGGUAAGUUUAGUCCCAAACUCACCUUUGGGCAAUUCUUUUUGCCUGGAUUUCCUCAUCUAUAAAAUAGAGAUAAAAUCUAUCCUCCUGUCUCAAGUGUAUACCCAUUGCCAUUGAGUCUACUCCAAUUCAUGGAACUCCCAAAUAUGGUUUCCAAGGCUAUAAUCUUUACAGGCAUUUUUGCUUUUUAACACUUUAAAGAGAUCUUUUGCAGCAGGUUUGCCCAAUGCAAUAGGUCAUUUGAUUUCUUGACUGCUGCUUCCAUGGACAUUCAUUGUGGAUUCAAGUAAAAUGAAAUCCUUGACAACUUCAAUCUUUUCUCCAUUUAUCAUGAUGUUGCUUAUUGAUCCCGUUGUUAGGAUUUUUGUUUUAUGUUGAGGUGUAAUCCAUACUGAAGGCUAUAGUCUUUGGUCUUCAUCAGUAAGUGCUUCAAGUCCUCUUCACUUUCUGCAAGCAAGGUUACGUCAUCUGCAUAACGCGAGUUGUUAAUGAGUCUUCCUCCAAUCCUGAUGCCCUGUUCUUCUUCAUAUAGUCCAGCUUCUCCGAUUAACUAUGCAGCAUACAGAUUGAAUAGGUAUGGUGAAAGGAUACAACCCUGAUGCACACCUUUCCUGAUUUUAAACCACAAAAGUAUCCCCCCGUUCUGUUCAAAUGACAAGUUCCACAUGAGCACAAUUUAAGUGUUCUGGAAUUCCCAUUCUUCCCAAUGUUAUCCAUAAUUUGUUAUAUGAUCCGCACAGUCAAAUGCCUUCCCAGAGUCAAUAAAACACAGGUAAACGUCUUUCUGGUAGUCUCUGCUUUCAGCCAAGAUCCAUCUGACAUCAGCAGUGAUAUCCCUGGUUCCACAUUCUCUUCUGAAUCAGGCUUGAAUUUCUGGCAGUUCCCUGUCGAUGUACUGCUGCAACCAUUUUUGAAUUAUCUUCAGAAAAAUUUUACUUGUGUGUCAUAUUAAGGAUAUUGCUCGAUAAUUUCCACAUUCUGUUGGAUUACCUUUCUCCAGAAUGGGCACAAAUGCUAAUCUCUUCUAGUCAGUUGACCUGGUCACUGUCUUCCAAAUUGCUUGGCAUAGACAAGUGAGUGCUAUUCUAUGCCAGAUAUGGGACCGAUCACUUUAGAUGUAUUAACUGAUUUAAUGACAAUUAGAUAAGUUAAUACAUACAAAGUGAAUGCUGCCAUACCUGGCACAGAAGAAUUACCUGGUAAACAGGUGGUAGGUGCUAGUAUUAUUUUAUUGCUGUUGUUGUUAAGAAAUGCUCACUCAGAUGUGGUACCAGGUGCUGAGGAGAAUGAAGUUAAAACAUCCCUCCUUUAAGACAAAGGGAACAGUAUGAAUAUCAGGCCCAGGGCAAGAAAAAGAAGACGGUUUCUCAAAGAUGGGAAUUACGUGCGCUGUGGAAAAGCUGUUUACAGGGUAGGCAGAUGGCAAAGCGCCUGUUUAAAUAUAACUCUGAACCUGGGAGGGAAGCAAUGUCCACAAAAGAUGAAGCCAAAAGUGAAGGAGACUCCGGUCUCUCCUUCAAAACAAAUGAAUGCAGGUGGCUGUUCCUUCUGCCUCAGGAGUACCACCUCGCGGAAGACGGGCCUGGUGAUCUGCGUUGUUCCUUCUGCCUCAGGAGUACCACCUCGCGGAAGACGGGCCUGGUGAUCUGCGUUGUUCCUUCUGCCUCAGGAGUACCACCUCGCGGAAGACGGGCCUGGUGAUCUGCGUUGUUCCUUCUGCCUCAGGAGAACCACCUCGCGGAAGACGGGCCUGGUGAUCUGCUGCCAUUAAGGUUACAGCCAAGAAAACCCCAUGGUGCAGUUCUGCUCUAACACACGGGUCACCAUGAGUUGACACUGAUUCAAUGGCAAGGUGCUUUUUUUUUUCAAGGAACCACUCAGUUGAACACAACACACUUGUAUGGGGUAAAAGACACAGUGCUAAACCCUUAGGACAAAAAGAUGAAGAAUAUACGGUUCCUGCCCUCAAUGGGGAUAUCAUUGCUGAGGUCAGAUGGAUCCUGGCCGAAAGCAGAGAAUACCAGAAAGAUGUUUACCUGUUUUAUUGACUAUGCAAGGGCAUUCGACUGUGUGGGUCAUAACAAAUUAUGGAUAACAUUGUGAAGAAUGGGAAUUCCAGGACACUUAAUUGUGCUAAUGAGGAACCUGUACAUAGAUCAAGAGGCAGUUGUUCAGACAGAACACGGGAAUAUUGUACGGUUUAAUGUCAGGAAAUGUGUGCGUCUGGGUUGUAUCCUUUCACUAUACCUAUUCAAUCUGUAAGCUGAGCAAAUAAUCCAAGAAGCUGGACUAUAUGAAGAAAAACGGGGCAUCAGGAUUGGAAGAAGACUCAUUAACAACCUGCGUUAUGCAGGUGACACAACCUUGCUUACUGAAAGUGAAGAGGAUUUGAAACACUGGUGAAGAUCAAAGACUACAGCCUUCAGUGUGGGUUACACCUCAACAUGAAGAAAACAAAAAUCCUCGCAACUGGACCAAUAAACAACAUCAUGAAAAACAGAGAUAAGACUGAAGUCGUCAAGGAUUUCAUGCUACUCAGAUCCACAGUCAACACCGAUGGAAGCAGCAGUUAAGAAAUCAAAAGAUGCGUUGCACUGGGCAGAUCUGCUACUAAAGACCUGUUUAAAGUGUUGAAAAGCAAAGACGUCACCUUGAAGACCAAGGUGCACCUGACUCAAGCCAUGGUGUUUUCAAUCGCCUCUUAUCCGUGAGGAAGCUAGAUGAUAAAUAAGGAAGACAGAGGCAGAAUUGACACCUCUGAAUUGUGGUGUUGGCGAAGAAUACUGAAUAUACCAUGGACUGCCAAAAGAACAAACAAAUCUCUCUUGGGAGAAAUACAACCAGAAUGCUUGUUACAAGUAUGAACUGUGAGACCACCUCUCACAUACUUUGGACACGUUAGCAGGAGGGACCAGUCCCUGGAGAAGGAGAUCACGCUUGGUAAGGUAGAGGGUCAGCAAAAAAGAGGAAGACCCUCAAUGAGAUGGACUGACACAGUGACUGCAACAAUGGGCUCAAGCAUAACAACGAUUGUGAGGACGGCACCGGACAGGGCAGUGUUUUGUUCUGUUGAACACAGGGUCACUAUGAGUCAGAACUGACUCAAUGGCACCUAACAACAACAAAAACAAUACACCCAAAUGAGGAAUAUACUGCCUACAAAAUCCAAAGAGCCCACUAGGCACUGUGCGUCCUUUUCAGUUGCGGGAGAAGCCAGAUGCAGUAACUUAUCCUUGACUUUAGAAGGAAUAUCUCGACAUGUCCCACACCACUGGACGCCUAGAAAUUUCACUGAGGUGGAAGGUGCCUGGAUGUUUGUGGGAAUAAUUUUCCACCCUCUAGCAUGCAAAUGUUUUACCAUUAAGUGCACAGUCAUUAACAUUUCUUCCUUACUAGGUCCAAUCAGCAUAAUGUCUUCAAUGUAACAGACCAUGCGAUGUCUUGUAGAAGGAAAGGUGAUCAAGAUUCCUGUGGACUAAAUUAUGACAUGGGGCUGGAAAGCUGAGGUAGCGCUGAGGUAGGCAACUGAAGGUGUAUUAUUGGCCUUAUCGGCUGAAGGAAAACUAAUUCUGAUGGUCUUUGGAAACAGGUAUGGAGACACCAGCAAUGAUAUCCCUGGUUCCAUGUCCUUUUCUGAAUCCAGCCAGAAUUUCUGGCAGUUCCCUGUGGAUAUACUGCUGCAACUGUUUUGAAUGAUCUUCAGCAAAAUUUUACUUGUAUGUAAUAUUAAUGAUAGUGUUCAAUCAUUUCUACAUUCGGUUGGAUCACCUUUCUUUGGAAUAGGCAUAAAUAUGGAUCUCUUCCAGUCUAGGUGGCUGUCUUCCAAAUUUCUUGGCAUAGACAAGUGAGCACUUUCAGCGCUGCAUGUGUUUGUUGAAACAUCUCAACUGGUAUUCUGUCAAUUCCUGGAGCCUUGUUUUUCACCAAUGCCUUCAGUGUAGCCUGGACAUCUUCCUCCAGUGCUGUAAUGGAUUGAAUUGUGUCCCCCAAAAAUGUCUGUCAAUUUGCUAGGUCAUGAUUCCCUUAUAUGAUUGUCUACCAUUUUAUCUUCUGAUGUGAUUUCCUUAUGUGUUGAAAAUCCUAACACUAUGAUGUAAUAAGGUGGAUUAAUGGCAGUUAUACUGAUGAGGUUUACAAGAUUAGGUAGUGUCUUAAGCCAAUCUCUUUUGAGAUGUAAAACAGAGAAGCAAGCAGAGAGACAUGGGGACCCCAUACCACCAUGAAAGCAGUGCAGGGAGCAGAGUACAUCCUUUGGACCUGAGGUUCCUGUGCUGAGAUGCUCCCAGACUAUGGAAAGACAGAUGACAAGGACCUUCCUCCAGAGCUGACAGAGAGAGAAAGCCUUGCCCUAAAGCUGGCACCCUUAAUUUGGACUUCUAGCCUACUAGACUGUGAGCGAAUAAACUUCUCUUUGUUAAGGCCAUCCACUUGUGGUACUUCUGUUAUAGCAGCACUAGAUGACUAAGACAAGUACCAUCGGUUCAUGAUCAUAUGCUACCUCCUGAAAUGGUUGAACGUUGACCAGCUCCUUUUGCUUGAGAAAUCCCGACCACGUUUA